UGGGGAAUUUUGGACAAUGGGGGCAACCCUGAUCCAGCCAUGCCGCGUGCGGGAAGAAGGCCUUCGGGUUGUAAACCGCUUUUAGUCGGAAAGAAAAGGCAUCUCCUAAUACGGGGUGUUCUUGACGGUACCGGCGGAAUAAGCACCGGCUAACUACGUGCCAGCAGCCGCGGUAAUACGUAGGGUGCGAGCGUUAAUCGGAAUUACUGGGCGUAAAGCGUGCGCAGGCGGUUCGUUGUGUCGGAUGUGAAAGCCCCGGGCUCAACCUGGGAAUGGCAUUCGAAACUGGCGAGCUGGAGUGUGGCAGAGGGGGGUGGAACUCCUGGUGUAGCAGUGAAAUGCGUAGAGAUCAGGAAGAACACCGAUGGCGAAGGCAGCCCCCUGGGCUAACACUGACGCUCAGGCACGAAAGCGUGGGGAGCAAACA
rnacentral:rRNA from 1 species